UACUUAUGAGGACCUGUAUAUGCUGGC
rnacentral:sRNA from 1 species